CUACCAAAAGUUGAUUAAGGGGAAGGUUUAUAGUAGACUAUGCCAGCUCAGUUUGUGAGGGACCACACUCCACAGUGAACCGUGCUAUUAUAUAUAGUUCAUUACUAUUCUGUGGCCUAGAAA
rnacentral:snoRNA from 1 species